rnacentral:rRNA from 1 species
CUACGGGGGGCACCAGUGAGGAAUAUUGGUCAAUGAGCGAAAGCCUGAACCAGCAACGCCGCGUGGGUGAUGAAGCACUGAGGUGUGUAAAGCCCUGUUAGGAGGGAAGAACAGCCUAUUCUUUAGGUUUGACGGUACCUCCAGAGAAAGCUCCGGCUAACUCCGUGCCAGCAGCCGCGGUAACACGGGGGGAGCAAGCGUUGUCCGGAUUUACUGGGCGUAAAGAGCGUGUAGGCGGAACGAUAAGUCAGAGGUGAAAUCUUGCAGCUUAACUGUAAACCUGCUUUUGAAACUGUCGUUCUUGAGUUCGGGAGAGGAAAGUGGAAUUCCUGGUGUAGCGGUGAAAUGCGUAGAUAUCAGGAAGAACACCAGUAGCGAAGGCGGCUUUCUGGCCCGAUACUGACGCUGAGAUGCGAAAGCGUGGGGAGCAAACAGGAUUAGAUACCCCGGUAGUC